rnacentral:rRNA from 1 species
CGGAGGAUCCAAGCGUUACCCGGAAUUACUGGGCGUAAAGAGUUGCGUAGGCGGCAUGUUAUGUCAGGUGUGAAAUCUUGGGGCUCAACCCCGAGGCUAUGCCUGAAACUGACAAGCUAGAGCAUGAGAGGGGUACCUGGAAUUCCCGGUGUAGGAGUGAAAUCCGUAGAUAUCGGGAGGAACACCAAUGGCGUAGGCAGGGUACUGGCUCAUUGCUGACGCUCAGGCACGAAAGCGUGGGGAGCGAACGGGAUUAGAUACCCCGGUAGUCCACGCCGUAAACGAUGAAUGCUAGCAGUAUGCGGUAUCGACUCCGUGUGUUGCGAAGCUAACGCGUUAAGCAUUCCGCCUGGGGAGUACGGUCGCAAGAUUA